rnacentral:tRNA from 1 species
GGGUAGUUAGCUCAGUUGGUUCAGAGCAUCGCCUUGACAGGGCGGGGGUCAUCGGUUCGAAUCCGGGUACUACCCA